GCUGGGCGUGGUAGUGCACGCCUGUAAUCCCAGCUACUAGGGAAGCUGAGGUAGGAGAAUUGCUUGAACCCAGGAGGUGGAGGUUGCAGUGAGCCGAGACCGUGCCACUGCACUCCAGCCUGGGUGACAGAGCAAGACUCCAUUUCG
rnacentral:SRP_RNA from 1 species